GUGCACGCUGGCGGUAGGCCUAACACAUGCAAGUCGAACGGCAGCACCGUAAGAGCUUGCUCUUACGGGUGGCGAGUGGCGGACGGGUGAGGAAUACAUCGGAAUCUACUUUUUCGUGGGGGAUAACGUAGGGAAACUUACGCUAAUACCGCAUACGACCUACGGGUGAAAGCAGGGGAUCUUCGGACCUUGCGCGAUUGAAUGAGCCGAUGUCGGAUUAGCUAGUUGGCGGGGUAAAGGCCCACCAAGGCGACGAUCCGUAGCUGGUCUGAGAGGAUAAUCAGCCACACUGGAACUGAGACACGGUCCAGACUCCUACGGGAGGCAGCAGUGGGGAAUAUUGGACAAUGGGCGCAAGCCUGAUCCAGCCAUACCGCGUGGGUGAAGAAGGCCUUCGGGUUGUAAAGCCCUUUUGUCGGGAAAGAAAAGCAGCAGGUUAAUACCCCGCUGUUCUGACGGUACCCAAAGAAUAAGCACCGGCUAACUUCGUG
rnacentral:rRNA from 1 species